CCUAAGCAUAUCAUGCCUUCCCACAUUAAUGACUAACUCUGAACUCUUACUAUAGCUUCACUAGCGCAUAUUACGUCCCUUCACUAAAAUCCCAACAUGUCAUUCAAGCCUAUCUUUAUAACCUCAUAUGAACUUCAAGGCAAACACCCAUGAAGAAACACUUCACAUAUUCUCUAAACCACUAUUAAUAUAACUCCCACACGCUACCCCAAGAACAUACACACACAAAUUUUCACUAAAAAUCACAUAUAUCAAAAACUUGGCCCCAAUCUUACUUCACACUUAUGGUCUUAUCUAAAACAAGCAUACUAUAAAGCGUGAGUACAUGAGUCAUGAGCUACAUGACCUCAAUUUGGAGUUCAUAACUUAUGGAAUGGGAUUCCGACUACUGAAUGAACUGAAACUUCAUAUUUUGGAACUUGAAGAGUGCAUGAUUCUCUAUCAUAAGCAUGAACAUGAAUUUUGAUCAUUGGACUAAAACGUAAGGCAUGAGUAGAUAUUGGGAUAACUGGAAAAAAAAAUACUGAGAUAAGAAUGGGUUGGGUCUCACCCUCACUUUCUGACGUUCUAUAUCAUCAUGACAUCACGACUAGAAUCUGAAAGCCUGACUUGGUUAUUCGCUCUAUCAUCUCCCCCUUAGCUUCAAGCCAUCAUAUUAAGUUUGGGAGAUCCCUUACUAGACUCUAAACUGAAGUACACUCACUGCACUCUGGGGUCUGAAAAACUACGAUACACGCAUAUCAUGGCACUUAACCCGAAUGACUACACCUGAAAGUGGAAAACCCACUGUUAAUAGAGAUACACUUUAUCAUUCUAUCGACCCAGCAGUCAUCAUAUAAUACUUGCACACUUACUAACUUCGGGUCUUCAUGAGUAUCCCCAUAGUCGGAGUGCACACCCUCUAGUGCUUUAACUCUUAUUUCUAUUAGUUCAACCUUCAAAAACUCAAACUUAGAAUCUAGCACUCAACAUGGAUAUUACCAUGCCUUCAAUGAAUCAUACUACUUCCGACAAAGCCUAUCAAUAUCGCGACUCCAAACUUAUAUCUCUCUACUAUGAGAAUCAAGAUCAUAUAAAAAGGCUCAACACUAUCAAUCAAAACUCCUUAACUUGACUAUUUAGAACACCAUAUACCAUCUAAAUAGUCUUUAUCCACCUAGCAACUCAACGGUACCACUCGUCACACAAAACGUGUAAUAGUCUUAGAAAAUACCGCAACCUCAGAUCACCUUGGGCAUACUUCUUCACUACGAAUCAAAUAAACUUAGGCUCUUUCAUAUACCAUUCAAGCCUAUUAGAUUACUUCCAUAAAACUAGUAUCAUUAACCAAGAAAUCAUCACAUCCACCUUCA
rnacentral:lncRNA from 1 species